UACGUAGGGGGCAAGCGUUGUCCGGAAUCAUUGGGCGUAAAGCGCGUGUAGGCGGCCCGAUAAGUCCGCUGUGAAAGUCCAGGGCUCAACCCUGGGAUGCCGGUGGAUACUGUCGGGCUCGAGUCCGGAAGAGGCGAGUGGAAUUCCUGGUGUAGCGGUGAAAUGCGCAGAUAUCAGGAGGAACACCAAUGGCGAAGGCCGCUCGCUGGGACGUGACUGACGCUGAGACGCGAAAGCGUGGGGAGCAAACAGG
rnacentral:rRNA from 1 species